rnacentral:rRNA from 1 species
UACGGGGGGGGCAAGCGUUGUCCGGAAUUACUGGGCGUAAAGGGCUUGUAGGCGGCCAACUAAGUCAGACGUGAAAUCCCUCGGCUUAACCGGGGAACUGCGUCUGAUACUGGAUGGCUUGAGUGUGGGAGAGGGAUGCGGAAUUCCAGGUGUAGCGGUGAAAUGCGUAGAUAUCUGGAGGAACACCGGUGGCGAAGGCGGCAUCCUGGACCAUGACUGACGCUGAGGAGCGAAAGCCAGGGGAGCAAACGGG